AGGUAGAAGUGGGUGAGAGGGAAGGCAUGCAGUUAUCCAAAGGAUACAGAUUGGAAUAUGGAGAUUCCAAACAUGAGAUUCCUCAAGAAGUUGUGUUUAGUGAGGAGGGAGAGAGUCUGAGGUUAGACUUAAAGAGUGAUGAGGACAUCAAAAGUCUGGUUGAAAAUUGUUCAGGCGGCGAGGGCACAUAUUUGGAUGAAGUACAAGAGGACAAUGUUGCAG